UACGAGGGGUGCAAACGUUAUUCGGAAUCACUGGGCGUAAAGGGUGCGUAGGCGGCAAGAUAAGUCAAUUAUUAAAUCUCCUAGCUUAACUAGGAAUCUGUGAUUGAAACUGACUUGCUUGAGGAUGGAAGAGAGAAGUGGAAUUCUCGGAGUAGCGGUAAAAUGCGUAGAUCUCGAGAGGAACACCGAUGGCGAAGGCAGCUUCUUGGUCCAUAUCUGACGCUGAAGUACGAAAGCGUGGGGAGCAAACAGGAUUAGAUACCCUGGUAGUCCACGCUGUAAACGAUGAUCAUUAGAUGUUAGAUCCGUUUUAGGGUUUAGUGUCGCAGCUAACGCGUUAAAUGAUCCGCCUGGGAAGUACGGUCGCAAGAUUAAA
rnacentral:rRNA from 1 species